UUAAGUUAUUAAGGGCGCACGGUGGAUGCCUUGGCACUAGAAGCCGAUGAAGGACGUUACUAACGACGAUAUGCUUUGGGGAGCUGUAAGUAAGCUUUGAUCCAGAGAUUUCCGAAUGGGGAAACCCAGCAUGAGUUAUGUCAUGUUAUCGAUAUGUGAAUACAUAGCAUAUUAGAAGGCACACCCGGAGAACUGAAACAUCUUAGUACCCGGAGGAAGAGAAAGAAAAUUCGAUUCCCUUAGUAGCGGCGAGCGAAACGGGAAGAGCCCAAACCAACAAGCUUGCUUGUUGGGGUUGUAGGACACUCUAUACGGAGUUACAAAGGACGACAUUAGACGAAUCAUCUGGAAAGAUGAAUCAAAGAAGGUAAUAAUCCUGUAGUCGAAAAUGUUGUCUCUCUUGAGUGGAUCCUGAGUACGACGGAGCACGUGAAAUUCCGUCGGAAUCUGGGAGGACCAUCUCCUAAGGCUAAAUACUCUCUAGUGACCGAUAGUGAACCAGUACCGUGAGGGAAAGGUGAAAAGCACCCCGGAAGGGGAGUGAAAUAGAACCUGAAACCGUGUGCUUACAAGUAGUCAGAGCCCGUUAAUGGGUGAUGGCGUGCCUUUUGUAGAAUGAACCGGCGAGUUACGAUUUGAUGCAAGGUUAAGCAGUAAAUGUGGAGCCGUAGCGAAAGCGAGUCUGAAUAGGGCGUUUAGUAUUUGGUCGUAGACCCGAAACCAGGUGAUCUACCCUUGGUCAGGUUGAAGUUCAGGUAACACUGAAUGGAGGACCGAACCGACUUACGUUGAAAAGUGAGCGGAUGAACUGAGGGUAGCGGAGAAAUUCCAAUCGAACCUGGAGAUAGCUGGUUCUCUCCGAAAUAGCUUUAGGGCUAGCCUCAAGUGAUGAUUAUUGGAGGUAGAGCACUGUUUGGACGAGGGGCCCCUCUCGGGUUACCGAAUUCAGACAAACUCCGAAUGCCAAUUAAUUUAACUUGGGAGUCAGAACAUGGGUGAUAAGGUCCGUGUUCGAAAGGGAAACAGCCCAGACCACCAGCUAAGGUCCCAAAAUAUAUGUUAAGUGGAAAAGGAUGUGGCGUUGCCCAGACAACUAGGAUGUUGGCUUAGAAGCAGCCAUCAUUUAAAGAGUGCGUAAUAGCUCACUAGUCGAGUGACACUGCGCCGAAAAUGUACCGGGGCUAAACAUAUUACCGAAGCUGUGGAUUGUCCUUUGGACAAUGGUAGGAGAGCGUUCUAAGGGCGUUGAAGCAUGAUCGUAAGGACAUGUGGAGCGCUUAGAAGUGAGAAUGCCGGUGUGAGUAGCGAAAGACGGGUGAGAAUCCCGUCCACCGAUUGACUAAGGUUUCCAGAGGAAGGCUCGUCCGCUCUGGGUUAGUCGGGUCCUAAGCUGAGGCCGACAGGCGUAGGCGAUGGAUAACAGGUUGAUAUUCCUGUACCACCUAUAAUCGUUUUAAUCGAUGGGGGGGACGCAGUAGGAUAGGCGAAGCGUGCGAUUGGAUUGCACGUCUAAGCAGUAAGGCUGAGUAUUAGGCAAAUCCGGUACUCGUUAAGGCUGAGCUGUGAUGGGGAGAAGACAUUGAGUCUUCGAGUCGUUGAUUUCACACUGCCGAGAAAAGCCUCUAGAUAGAAAAUAGGUGCCCGUACCGCAAACCGACACAGGUAGUCAAGAUGAGAAUUCUAAGGUGAGCGAGCGAACUCUCGUUAAGGAACUCGGCAAAAUGACCCCGUAACUUCGGGAGAAGGGGUGCUCUUUAGGGUUAACGCCCAGAAGAGCCGCAGUGAAUAGGCCCAAGCGACUGUUUAUCAAAAACACAGGUCUCUGCUAAACCGUAAGGUGAUGUAUAGGGGCUGACGCCUGCCCGGUGCUGGAAGGUUAAGAGGAGUGGUUAGCUUCUGCGAAGCUACGAAUCGAAGCCCCAGUAAACGGCGGCCGUAACUAUAACGGUCCUAAGGUAGCGAAAUUCCUUGUCGGGUAAGUUCCGACCCGCACGAAAGGCGUAACGAUUUGGGCACUGUCUCAACGAGAGACUCGGUGAAAUCAUAGUACCUGUGAAGAUGCAGGUUACCCGCGACAGGACGGAAAGACCCCGUGGAGCUUUACUGUAGCCUGAUAUUGAAAUUCGGCACAGCUUGUACAGGAUAGGUAGGAGCCUUUGAAACGUGAGCGCUAGCUUACGUGGAGGCGCUGGUGGGAUACUACCCUAGCUGUGUUGGCUUUCUAACCCACACCACUUAUCGUGGUGGGAGACAGUGUCAGGCGGGCAGUUUGACUGGGGCGGUCGCCUCCUAAAAGGUAACGGAGGCGCUCAAAGGUUCCCUCAGAAUGGUUGGAAAUCAUUCAUAGAGUGUAAAGGCAUAAGGGAGCUUGACUGCGAGACCUACAAGUCGAGCAGGGUCGAAAGACGGACUUAGUGAUCCGGUGGUUCCGCAUGGAAGGGCCAUCGCUCAACGGAUAAAAGCUACCCCGGGGAUAACAGGCUUAUCUCCCCCAAGAGUUCACAUCGACGGGGAGGUUUGGCACCUCGAUGUCGGCUCAUCGCAUCCUGGGGCUGUAGUCGGUCCCAAGGGUUGGGCUGUUCGCCCAUUAAAGCGGUACGCGAGCUGGGUUCAGAACGUCGUGAGACAGUUCGGUCCCUAUCCGUCGUGGGCGUAGGAAAUUUGAGAGGAGCUGUCCUUAGUACGAGAGGACCGGGAUGGACAUACCUCUGGUGUACCAGUUGUCGUGCCAACGGCAUAGCUGGGUAGCUAUGUGUGGACGGGAUAAGUGCUGAAAGCAUCUAAGCAUGAAGCCCCCCUCAAGAUGAGAUUUCCCAACUUCGGUUAUAAGAUCCCUCAAAGAUGAUGAGGUUAAUAGGUUCGAGGUGGAAGCAUGGUGACAUGUGGAGCUGACGAAUACUAAUCGAUCGAAGACUUAAUCAA
rnacentral:rRNA from 1 species